rnacentral:rRNA from 1 species
AGAACGAACGCUGGCGGCAUGCUUAACACAUGCAGGUCGAACGAGACCUUCGGGUCUAGUGGCGCACGGGUGCGUAACGCGUGGGAAUCUGCCCUUAGGUACGGAAUAACUCAGAGAAAUUUGUGCUAAUACCGUAUGAUGUCGAAAGACCAAAGAUUUAUCGCCUAAGGAUGAGCCCGCGUAAGAUUAGCUUGUUGGUGAGGUAAAAGCUCACCAAGGCGACGAUCUUUAGCUGGUCUGAGAGGAUGAUCAGCCACACUGGGACUGAGACACGGCCCAGACUCCUACGGGAGGCAGCAGUGGGGAAUAUUGGACAAUGGGCGAAAGCCUGAUCCAGCAAUGCCGCGUGAGUGAUGAAGGCCUUAGGGUUGUAAAGCUCUUUUACCAGGGAUGAUAAUGACAGUACCUGGAGAAUAAGCUCCGGCUAACUCCGUGCCAGCAGCCGC